rnacentral:lncRNA from 1 species
UAGAACACAGUAUAAAAUCCAAUUUAUUAAAUAUGAUAAAAUCCACUAAAUAAUGCCAGUAAAGUAUAUACAAAUUUGCACUUCCAUUACUUUGAACGAAAAAUAUACAUACAUCCGCGUCCACUACUCCUUUCAAACAAUGAUAAAACAUGAUCACUUGUCCGUCUUUCAGCGGACAAUCUUUGACUCCUCUAGUGACCUGGGAGCUGCGGAGAUCACUCCUCAACUGACUUAGCUGUUUGUUUAUCUAAACAAUAAAAGGCUUAGCUUUUCGUUAAUUUCAGUCUUGCAGAGUUGCAACCCCUCAAGUAUUUGGUCUUUGUAUUUGCUUGUUUUUUGUCAGUGCCUUGUUUCCUAAUUAUCCGAUGUAUUUUCUUGUAGAGUCAGGCUUAUUCUACACUAAUUCUAGAACAUCCUCGAGUUACCUAGCCUCCGUGGUAGCUCCUCCUCCCUUUUGCUGCUCCAUGUGCUAGCCUUGAAAAUGCCCAAUUAUAUUGUGUCCUUGCAUUGUUAUGUAUGUAGUUCUGAUCAAUCACACAAAUACCUAAAAGUAAAGAAUAAAACUAAAGUGAAAUUGCUAGGAAAAUGUCAAGAAAUCACAUACUGCUAGUUAGGGCAUCAGAAUAUCACAUUAUACUAUCCUCUACAAUGGUUACAUGUAAAGAAAAUUUGGAGGCAUAUACAACUAAAAAGUAAAUCAUUGUAUCAUGGAAAUGACAUACAAAUAUGGACCAUGGAAUAAAAUACUAUUGGAAGGCAUGUCUGCAAGGAUUGUUUAGAAACUUGAUCACUGUAUCAUGAAAAUGAUAUUGCAAGAGCUGACCUUUCCCUUGGGCACAUUCCCAUGCUUUGACUAAAAUAGAGCAUUUGCAGUUCCUGCUUGGACGCUCA